rnacentral:rRNA from 1 species
AUUGAACGCUGGCGGCAGGCCUAACACAUGCAAGUCGAACGGUAACAGGAAGCAGCUUGCUGCUUUGCUGACGAGUGGCGGACGGGUGAGUAAUGUCUGGGAAACUGCCCGAUGGAGGGGGAUAACUACUGGAAACGGUAGCUAAUACCGCAUAACGUCGCAAGACCAAAGAGGGGGACCUUCGGGCCUCUUGCCAUCGGAUGUGCCCAGAUGGGAUUAGCUUGUUGGUGAGGUAACGGCUCACCAAGGCGACGAUCCCUAGCUGGUCUGAGAGGAUGACCAGCCACACUGGAACUGAGACACGGUCCAGACUCCUACGGGAGGCAGCAGUGGGGAAUAUUGCACAAUGGGCGCAAGCCUGAUGCAGCCAUGCCGCGUGUAUGAAGAAGGCCUUCGGGUUGUAAAGUACUUUCAGCGGGGAGGAAGGUGUCGUGGUUAAUAACCGCAGCAAUUGACGUUACCCGCAGAAGAAGCACCGGCUAACUCCGUGCCAGCAGCCGCCGUAA